GACAGAGGGUGCAAACGUUGUUCGGAAUUACUGGGCGUAAAGCGCGUGUAGGCGGCCCCGCAAGUCGGAUGUGAAAGCCCUCGGCUCAACCGGGGAAGUGCAUUCGAAACUGCAGGGCUAGAGUCCCGGAGAGGAUAGUGGAAUUCUCGGUGUAGAGGUGAAAUUCGUAGAUAUCGAGAGGAACACCGGUGGCGAAGGCGGCUAUCUGGACGGUGACUGACGCUGAGACGCGAAAGCGUGGGGAGCAAACAGG
rnacentral:rRNA from 1 species